rnacentral:lncRNA from 1 species
AAACUGUUUUUUUUUUUUUUUUUUUUUUUUUUUCUGAUAGGAUGCCUUAGAAUCAACGUUGAAAGGUCAGUUUGAAAAGUUAAAGUAAAUUAGAAAUGUAAAUAUAUCAGAUAUUAGAUUUAGAAAAUUUUUAAUGCAUUCCUAAAUCAACAGAUCCUCGAAUAACGAGACAGAGCUCAGAGGAACAGAAAUUUACUACGAAGAAGUUCACAAUCCUCACACAUCUGAUACUGGUGACACACAACAUGUUGUCUGGAGUGCCUCAGAGUUUGCUGAUUCCUCUGAAAGUGGUAGGUCUGCACUGAAU